rnacentral:sRNA from 1 species
UAUACUGUAUCAAUUUUAUAUCUACGCUUAUGACGAUAAUAAU